CGUGGCCGGUGCAGCUGCCCGCUGGCGCUUGCGAGCGUGCACAGGCCUACAUCCAGGGUCAUAGGUGGGGAGCGGAUCCCGUCCAUCCUCAAUCCGGGCCCGCACAGUC
rnacentral:snoRNA from 1 species